GAAGAAGGAACAAAGUUCAAGCUUCAAGAUCAAGGAUCUUGAAACAUCUAAGAGGAUGUUUGAUGAUGUUGGGCUAAAGCUACCAUGGUUGGAAAUCAAGGGAGUCAAAGGAAAAGUAAGAGGAAGGCUUGAGGUGCAAGGUCAAUCAAUGAUGGGCACUAAUGGCAUGA